UACGUAGGGUGCGAGCGUUAAUCGGAAUACUGGGCGUAAAGCGUGCGCAGGCGGUGAUGUAAGACAGUUGUGAAAUCCCCGGGCUCAACCUGGGAACUGCAUCUGUGACUGCAUCGCUGGAGUGCGGCAGAGGGGGAUGGAAUUCCGCGUGUAGCAGUGAAAUGCGUAGAUAUGCGGAGGAACACCGAUGGCGAAGGCAAUCCCCUGGGCCUGCACUGACGCUCAGUGCAC
rnacentral:rRNA from 1 species